UGUAUGUGCAGUAGGACCUGUUAGGUCGCCC
rnacentral:sRNA from 1 species